AAAUUAUUAAACAGAAAAGAGUCAUAUAGAAAAUAAGAUAGAAAUU
rnacentral:guide_RNA from 1 species